AGUAUGCUCUGGGACUCCUUGUAUAGCUUAAAGAUACUUUUUUAUAUUCCAAUUUUAUAUUAGUUUAGGAACAUUAAACGACAAUUGCAAGAUAUGCCAAAAAGGAUUAUUGAUCAACUCGGGUAAAUUUAUAGACUAUAAACUAUAAUCUAAAAAAAUUACAUGCAUGCAUGUGCGCGCGCGCGCGCGCACACAUACACAAAUGUUACUACAAAAAGUAUUACAACGUUGUGAGCAUAAAAUAUAAUACGUAUUAUUUAUGAAAUAUUUAUGCAUAUUUUUAAGAUCAAUAAUUCAGGCUGAAAUACGAAAGGUCAAGACUACUCUAAUACAAAAUAUCAAGGUUCCAUGCAAACCAGCAUGUCUUCCUCUUAAGACUACAGAAGACAUAAAAAUGUUUGAUAAGCUGCCAAACGAAGAAUAUGACAAUGUUGUGAGUAAAAAAGCAUACAUGCAUUUUUAUAUACAUAUUUGAUGUAAUAAUAAUUUAAGUUAUUACUGUUUUCAUUUCCUACUAUUGUGUGAAAUGCUGUCUAUUAUUGAAUAUAAGAUUAAACAAUUUUUAAUUAAAUAAUAAGUAAAAAUCAAACUCGUGUGUAAAGCAAAUUGAGAAAGAUAAAAAAAUCAAGAAAUGAGUGAUCAUGGCAUAAAUAUUAUAAUAAAGUCUUUUUAUCUGAUUAUUGCAAGUUAGAUAUCUUAGUCAUAUUGGUGGAUGGACAGCACGCAGCUGUGCCAAUGCUAUUUUAAAGGAAGCUGUAAAUGACGAAGUCUUUUAUGACUUCGCUUUUACAGGUUACAAGAGAAAAAAUGUUUUCAAAGAUUUACGUUUUGCAAAGGCUUGUGAAGAAGCAAUGGCGGCAAAUCCCAAUUUUAAAUUAACGCAAGCUGUAUUUAAGGAGGCUAUUACCGAAGCACUGAGGUCUUCAAAGCAACGAUUCCGAAAACAAAAUAUGCAAGUUGAAAAUAAUUAUAGCUGUGACAAUAUUGAUGAAAGUGAUAGUGCCUCAAAUAGCGAGGAGGAAAAUUAAUUAUAUAGUAUUAAUUAUGCUAAGAAAAGUAUAAACAAGUAUCAGUACAUAUACUGAACAGUAUAUAUAUUACAUGUUAUGUUCUUGAAAUUAUAUUGACAUUUAUUUUAUAUUUUUGAAAUUUUAUUAUGCUGUAUUCUUAUAAAAUAGAAUUUAAUAUUAAACCAAAGAUGUAUGCGUGACGAGUAUAUUCAUACUCAAUACAAAAGAAUAUUCCUUAUUUAUUUAAGGAUGUAAUAAAGAUAUAUUAACAGCUGUCUCUAUGGUAACAUUUCAUGGUGUAUUUGUUAUAUAUGUUAACUGUAUUAUUAGUACAUAUUGCGAAGUAAUAUAAUAUGAUCUUAACUUUAUGGUCUAUAUAUUAUAUAUCUUAAUUAAUAAACUUCUUUUUUUCCAUAAAAUUAUAAGAAAAAAAAUUUUGUUUAGAUUUGUUGGAACUCUGACAAUGCACACACACACGCGCGCGCGCGUAUUUUUGUAUUUAUUGCACAAAACCGUUAUUAUAUACUACACAAAUCCGACAAAGUUUGCCAGCACUACGACAACAUGUCGUGUCGUAAUGUGUCAGCAAACCGUGCUGCUCACAUACGCUUCAUUUGCCGACUCAAUUGUUGCAAAUAUGCCGACACGUCUAUGCGUAGAUGUGAAUGCGCUAUGUCGGCACAAUGCCGAUAGUUUGCUAUCGGAGAUAUCUUGUAUUAAUGUUAAAAAUAGAAAAUGCCGAAUUGUGUAGCUUUUGGAUGCUAUAAUACAUCAAAAAAAGGUGCAAUGAUGCAUAUGUUUCCACAAGCUUUAGAACGUCGAAAAAUAUGGAUAUAAAAUGAAAUAAGACUUGAAAUAAGACUGAAAUAAGACUUGAAUAAGACUUGAAAUUUGCCGCCUUUACAUGCUAUGAAACGGAAAAUGGCGACUUCCGUCACAUUGGCACAACUCUCCUUAUAGGAACUCUAACUUGGCGCAAGUCACUACCGUGUCUCUUAAAAAUAUAAGUGGGUGGCCAUAUUACCACCUUCUCCUCCA
rnacentral:lncRNA from 1 species